UCCAGACUCCUACGGGAGGCAGCAGUGGGGGAUAUUGCACAAUGGGGGAAACCCUGAUGCAGCGACGCCGCGUGGGCGAAGAAGUAUUUCGGUAUGUAAAGCCCUCUCAGCAGGGAAGAAGAAAUGACGGUACCUGAGUAAGAAGCACCGGCUAAAUACGUGCCAGCAGCCGCGGUAAUACGUAUGGUGCAAGCGUUAUCCGGAUUUACUGGGUGUAAAGGGAGCGUAGACGGCUGUGCAAGCCAGAUGUGAAAGCCCGGGGCCCAACCCCGGGACUGCUCUUGGAACUGCGUGGCUGGAGUGCAGGAGGGGCAGGCGGAAUUCCUGGUGUAGCGGUGAAAUGCGUAGAUAUCAGGAGGAACACCGGUGGCGAAGGCGGCCUGCUGGACUGCAACUGACGUUGAGGCCCGAAAGCGUGGGAGCAAACAGGAUUAGAUACCCCGGUAAC
rnacentral:rRNA from 1 species